rnacentral:lncRNA from 1 species
ACAGUGACUCGCGCCUAUAAUCACAGCACUGUGGGAGGCCAAAGUGGGUGGAUUAUUGGAGGUCAGGAGUUCAAGAACAGCCUGGACAACAUGGUGAAAUCCCAUCUCUAUUAAAAAUACAAAAUCAGCCGGGCAUGGUGGCAUGUACCUGUAAUCCCAGCUACUUGGGAGGCUGAGGCAGGAGAAUCGCUUGAACCUGGGAGGCAGAGGUUGCAGUGAGCCGAGAUUGUGCCACUGCACUCCAGCCUGGGCAACAAGAGUUAGACUCCGUCUCAAUAAAUAAAUAAAUAAAUAAAUAAAUAAAUAAAAUAAUAAAAAAAUUUAAUAAAAUUGGCCACAAGAUGUCCCCACAGCUUUAAAAGAUACUUUUUCCAUCUAGACAGGCCUUUUCAUACUUCAAUGGAUUGUAUGCCCGUAAGAAAUCAGUUAUUAAACAUUCAGAAUAGUAGACAUCUUCAAACUAGACUUCAAGUAAUAGUCCCAAAUGCUAAAUGUAUAUUUCUCCUUUAAAGGUUCAUAUUAAACUAUGGUUUCCCUAAAUUGCAGGGAUUCUUUGAGGCCACCUUGAAUUAUUUUUUAUUUAUUUAUUUAUUUUUUUUGUGUUUUGUUAUAAACAUGUGCUCUGGAGACUGCUGAGUGAGUCUAGACUGCAAUUUUAGAGACUUCCAUCACAUUUACCAAACACAUUGAAAUUGGGGUUA